UCCCGCUCGGAGGGCUGAGGGCUGCAGGCCUCUGGGGCCUCCCCGCCUCCAGUUCCGCUGCCUUGUUCUCACUCCCAGGCAGCCUCCGUCCCAGCCUCCCAUCCCGGCUGAGCAUGGUACCCCGCACACACGGUUGCUAAGAAACCGUUGCCAAGAGUCACAACUCAGCUGGCAACGGAAAACACCCCCAGCAGCACCGUUUGCUGGGCCCAUUUAGGAAGACAUGUUUUCUGGUCCACUCAAUGCCUCAUCCUCUUUGCAAACAUUUCAAACGUUUUCUUUUACAUGGCUUCUAGAUAUCACUUAGCAUGCACUCUAUAUUUAGGAACGGUUAUGAAACAAACAUAUCACCCACAAUAUCUGCACUGACUAUGGCAUGAAGCCUGGUACUGGGAUCAAGAGGCAGGGAGACACCAGGGAAAAAUCCUGCCUCAUAUCACAGCGAAGCCUGGUGCUCCUGGCUGAUUUGGGAGCUUGUCGGUAAGUCUCAUCUGGUCAAGUUCGACAACCCCCAGGUGGCAAGCUUUACGCCACAAAGCCCAUUGGACUGCAGGAAACAGGAAAGAUGGACAGCUCUAGUCCUCGGCCAGAGGCAGAGCUCGUCAGUCAGUCUCAUCUGGUCUAAUCCCACAACCGCCGAGUGGCAAGCUUUAUGCCACAGAGCCCACUGGACUGCAAGAAACAGGAGAGACCGAUGGCUCCAGCCCUGGACCAGAGGCUACUAUCCCUGUAGUACCUCUGAAAGGCCAAUCCUUGUAGCAGCCCUGAAAGGUCCAGAUGCAGCCCCUUAUUCUGCAGAGGAGGAGUCCAAGGUGGCCCACCCACAGGAGGCAGAGCUGGCCUCUGUUGCUGUAGUGGAGAAAUACUGCACCCCAAGCCACAUCAUGACACUCUUCAGCCCAGAGUGGGCAGCCUGAAGAGGAAAGACUCCAUCCCAGCAAGGAUGAAGGCUGCGGUUCCCAGGUCCUCCGUCAGCACGUAUCUCAUUUCCUGGGCACCCAAGACAGGGACCCCGGGAGGCCCUUUGGUUGGCUUUGGCGCAGCCGUGAAGGGCUGCAGGUCUCCACCCUCCUGAAGUUAGGUGCGGCCAAGUGAGCCGGCGGCUGCAGGGACGUGUGUCACUCCAGGAAAGAUGAAGACCAACUCACCACCCACCACACUGCCCUUGAACCCAGAUGUGGCAACUAUAAAUGGAUGAUGGUCCAGCUGGUGGGGGCGUCACCCAACCCGGUUCCUAAGUGAGGAGGGCAAAGGACAGCACCCAGCAGACCUGACAGGGCAGUGAGAGUGAGCAGGAAAUAAGCCUUUGUUUUUUUAAGCCAUGGCAACCUGGAGAUUAUUUGCUACUGCAGCCUAACCCCGCUGUCCUGACUGUUACAGGUCAGGUGGCUACAGCAGAAUAGCCCUUAUCCUAAACGCUUGGACUAGAAGUAUUCUGGAUUGCAUAUAUUUUUGGAUUUUGGAAUAUUUGCAUGUACAUUUGGUAUAUCUGCACAUAUAAUCACAUAUAUCCUGGAGAUGGGACCCAAGUCUAAAUAUGAAAUUCACGUAUGCUUUAUACACAUAGCCUGAAGGUAAUUUUAUACAACAUUUAAAGAAUUUUGUGCAUGAAACAGUUUUCAUUGUGUUUUGACUGGGACUUACCCCAUGAGGUCAGGCUUGGAAUUUUAUACCUGUGGCAUCAUGUUGAUGCUCAAAAAGUUUGGGGUUUUAGAGCAUUUUGGAUUUUGGAUUUUUAGAUGAGCUCAACCUGGAUUGGACCUCAAAGGGUGCCCUUAUACAAGGUCAACAUGCCUAGCAAGGAAGAGAGUUGUUUUUUGUUUUUUUUUGAAACAGAGUCUCGCUCUGUCGCCCAGGCUGGAGUGCAAUGGUGUGAGCUUGGCUCACUGAAAUAGCGGCCUUCCAGCUUCAAGCGAUUCUCCUGCCUCAGCCUCCUGAGUAGCUGGGAUUACAGGCGCAUGCCACCAUGCCCAGCUAAUUUUUGUAUUUUUAGUAGAGACGGGGUUUCACCAUGUUGGCCAGGCUGGUCUCGAACUCCUGACCUCAGGUGAUCCACCCGCUUCAGCCUCCCACCAUGCCUGGCUGAGAGUUCUUA
rnacentral:lncRNA from 1 species